rnacentral:rRNA from 1 species
CGCCCUACGGGGGGCAGCAGUGAGGAAUAUUGGUCAAUGGGCGGGAGCCUGAACCAGCCAAGCCGCGUGAAGGAAGAAGGCGCCAGGCGUCGUAAACUUCUUUUGUCGGGGAACAAAGGGCGCCACGCGUGGCGUUGUGAGUGUACCCGAAGAAAAAGCAUCGGCUAACUCCGUGCCAGCAGCCGCGGUAAUACGGAGGAUGCGAGCGUUAUCCGGAUUUACUGGGUGUAAAGGGCGUGUAGCCGGGCCGGCAAGUCAGAUGUGAAAUCCCAAGGCUCAACCUUGGAACUGCAUUUGAAACUGUU